rnacentral:rRNA from 1 species
AUUGAACGCUGGCGGCAUGCCUUACACAUGCAAGUCGAACGGUAGAGGGGGCAACCCCUUGAGAGUGGCGAACGGGUGAGUAAUGCAUCGGAACGUGCCCAGUCGUGGUGGAUAGCCCGGGGAAACCCGGAUUAAUACCGCAUACGACCUGAGGGUGAAAGCGGGGGACCGAAAGGCCUCGCGCGAUUGGAGCGGCCGAUGUCGGAUUAGGUAGUUGGUGGGGUAAAGGCCUACCAAGCCUGCGAUCCGUAGCUGGUCUGAGAGGACGACCAGCCACACUGGGACUGAGACACGGCCCAGACUCCUACGGGAGGCAGCAGUGGGGAAUUUUGGACAAUGGGCGCAAGCCUGAUCCAGCCAUGCCGCGUGCGGGAAGAAGGCCUUCGGGUUGUAAACCGCUUUUGUCAGGGAAGAAAUCUCUUGGGUUAAUACCCUGGGGGGAUGACGGUACCUGAAGAAUAAGCACCGGCUAACUACGUGCCAGCCGCCGCAGUAA